AGUGAACGCUGGCGGUAGGCCUAACACAUGCAAGUCGAACGGCAGCACAGUAAGAGCUUGCUCUUACGGGUGGCGAGUGGCGGACGGGUGAGGAAUACAUCGGAAUCUACUUUUUCGUGGGGGAUAACGUAGGGAAACUUACGCUAAUACCGCAUACGACCUACGGGUGAAAGCAGGGGAUCUUCGGACCUUGCGCGAUUGAAUGAGCCGAUGUCGGAUUAGCUAGUUGGCGGGGUAAAGGCCCACCAAGGCGACGAUCCGUAGCUGGUCUGAGAGGAUGAUAAGCCACCCGGGAACUGAGACACGGUCCAGACUCCUACGGGAGGCAGCAGAGGGGAAUAUUGGACAAAGGGCGCAAGCCUGAUCCAGCCAUACCGCGUGGGUGAAGAAGGCCUUCGGGUUGUAAAGCCCUUUUGUUGGGAAAGAAAAGCAGCAGGUUAAUACCCCGCUGUUCUGACGGUACCCAAAGAAUAAGCACCGGCUAACUUCGUG
rnacentral:rRNA from 1 species